CCUACGGGAGGUAGCAGUGGGGAAUAUUGCACAAUGGGGGAAACCCUGAUGCAGCGACGCCGCGUGAGUGAAGAAGUAUUUCGGUAUGUAAAGCUCUAUCAGCAGGGAAGAAAAUGACGGUACCUGACUAAGAAGCCCCGGCUAACUACGUGCCAGCAGCCGCGGUAAUACGUAGGGGGCAAGCGUUAUCCGGAUUUACUGGGUGUAAAGGGAGCGUAGACGGCAGAGCAAGUCUGAAGUGAAAGCCCGGGGCCCAACUGCGGGACUGCUUUGGAAACUGCCCGGCUAGAGUGCUGGAGAGGUAAGCGGAAUUCCUAGUGUAGCGGUGAAAUGCGUAGAUAUUAGGAGGAACACCAGUGGCGAAGGCGGCUUACUGGACAGUAACUGACGUUGAGGCUCGAAAGCGUGGGGAGCAAACAGGAUUAGAUACCCCAGUAGUC
rnacentral:rRNA from 1 species